CUCCUCACGGUCUGACUGACAAGUCAAAGUCCAACUUGACUGUGGCCACUGCCCAUAGAGGGUGAUAGGCCCGUAAGGCUGUCGGUUGACUGUGGCGACUUUUCCCUCGAGUCGGGUUGCUUGGGAGUGCAGCCCAAAGUGUGAGGUAAACUCCUCAUAAGCCUAAAUAUUACCCUGAGACCGAUAGCAAACAAGUACGGUGACGGAAGAUUGAAAAGAACUUUGAAGAGAGAGUUCAAUAGUACGUGAAACUGUGUGGUGGUAAACGGAGGGGUUCUCGAAGUUUCUGGAGGGAACUCAGCCUUGGAGUGGGGCUGUCUGGUUGUAUCUGAUCAGCAAUGACAGUGCGGCUAGUCAGGCUCUGUUCACGGGUGCAUUUCCCCUUCAGUUUACGGCAGGAACCGUUUAGUGCAGACCUAAGGCUCUGGGUGAAGUUAUAGGCCUAGCUUGUAGCCCCGGAUGUUCUGGCUUUGCGCUAGACGGGUAAUUGAGGAGACUCGUAUAGCGAGCAAUGCUCUGUUGCAGUCUCCAUCUCUCUGCCGAGUAGGUCGGUGGCCCCUCCGACCCGUCUUGAAACACGGACCAAGGAGUCUAACAUGUAUGCGAGCCAUUGAGUUGACUAAACUUAAAGGCGUAGUGAAAGCAAAGAGUAGCUUGCUGCUCGAGGGAGGAUCCGUAAGGCGCACUCCCGCGACUUCCCAUUGACCUCGCUUCAUGGGGAGUACGCAGAGCAUAAAUGUUGGGACCCGAAAGAUGGUGAACUAUGCCUGGCCAGGAUGAAGUCAGGGGAAACCCUGAUGGAGGUCCGUAGUGGUUCUGACGUGCAAAUCGAUCACCGGAGCUGGGUAUAGGGGCGAAAGACUAAUCGAACCAUCUAGUAGCUGGUUCCUGCCGAAGUUUCCCUCAGGAUAGCUGGUGCUCAUAUACGAGUUUCAUCCGGUAAAGCGAAUGAUUAGAAGCAUUGGGGGCGAAACGCCCUCAACUUAUUCUCAAACUUUAAAUGGGUGAGAAGUCUGUCUUGCUUGAGUGAAGUCAGACACUGAAUCGGAGUGCCUAGUGGGCCAUUUUUGGUAAGCAGAACUGGCGCUGUGGGAUGAACCAAACGCAGAGUUAAAGUGCCAAAGUGGAAGCUCAUCAGAUCCCACGAAAGGUGUUGGUUGCUUAAAACAGCAGGACGGUGGCCAUGGAAGUCGGAAUCCGCUAAGGAGUGUGUAACAACUCACCUGCCGAAGCAACUAGCCCUGAAAAUGGAUGGCGCUAAAGCUUCCCACUUAUACUCUGCCGUUCAGUUAGAGCUGGCCCUUGUGGUCCUGACAACUGAACGAGUAGGCAGGUCGCUCGGGUAGCGCAGAAGGCUCUGGGUGUGAACCUGGCUGGAGCUGCCCGAGGUGCAGAUCUUGGUGGUAGUAGCAAAUACUCCAGAGAGGCCCUGGAGGACCGAUGUGGAGAAGGGUUCAGUGUGAACAGCUGUUGGACACUGGUCAGUCACUCCUAAGGCUUAGGGGAAACCCUAUAAAAUUGUGUGGUGUUUUCAGUUUGACUAGACCACAACUACAGCCGAAAGGGAAUGAGGUUCUUAUUCCUCAACCUGAUAGCGGAACCGAUUCGGCCCUCGUACCGACACGGCAACGUGAAAUGAGCCUGAGACGCCCACCCGAGCUCUGGGAAGAGUUGUCUUUUCUGCAUAAGCCGCUGAGGCCCUGGAAUUCCUUCGAGGAGAGAAUGGGUUUUGGUCUUGGCAAAGAGCGCAGCAGUUCUUGCUGUGUCCAUGAGUGACGGGCGGGACCUUGAAAAUCAGGCUGAGGGUUACGGCGGAGUCGCAUCAGCGUGUACCCAUAUCCGCAGCAGGUCUCCUAGGUGAAUAGCCUCUGGUCGAUAGAAUAAUGUAGGUAAGGGAAGUCGGCAAAUUGGAUCCGUAACUUCGGGAUAAGGAUUGGCUCUGAGGGUCGGGGUGUUUGGGCUUUGAGCUGGAAGCAGGUUGGCCUACAGGUGGGCCUGGCCGAACCCUUGGGUGAAGUCGGUCCCGUUCACAGGCUCCUGUGGAUAGCCAUUGCUUUGCGGGCCCGGGCAACCGGUGUCCGUUCAAACAUCAAUCAACGACUAACUCAGAACUGGCACGGACUAGGGGAAUCCGACUGUCUAAUUAAAACAAAGCAUUGCGAUGGUCAGAGAGUGAUGUUGACGCAAUGUGAUUUCUGCCCAGUGCUCUGAAUGUCAAAGUGAAGAGGUUCGUCCAAGCGCGGGUAAACGGCGGGAGUAACUAUGACUCUCUUAAGGUAGCCAAAUGC
rnacentral:rRNA from 1 species